rnacentral:tRNA from 1 species
AGGCUCAUAGCUCAAUCUGGUCAGAGCAAACGACCUAUAAUCGUUAGGUUUUGGGUUCAAAUCCCAAUGGGCCUACUA